rnacentral:rRNA from 1 species
GAUCCUGGCUCAGGAUGAACGCUGGCGGCGUGCUUAACACAUGCAAGUCGAACGAAGCACCUUGAUUCGAUUCUUCGGAUGAAGAUCCUGGUGACUGAGUGGCGGACGGGUGAGUAACGCGUGGGUAACCUGCCUCAUACAGGGGGAUAACAGUUAGAAAUGACUGCUAAUACCGCAUAAGACCACAGCACCGCAUGGUGCAGGGGUAAAAACUCCGGUGGUGUGAGAUGGACCCG